CCUACGGGAGGCAGCAGUGGGGAAUAUUGGGCAAUGGGCGCAAGUCUGACCCAGCAACGCCGCGUGAAUGAAGAAGGCUUUCGGGUUGUAAACUUCUUUUCUCAGGGACGAAGAAAGUGACGGUACCUGAGGAAUAAGCCACGGCUAACUACGUGCCAGCAGCCGCGGUAAUACGUAGGUGGCAAGCGUUAUCCGGAUUUACUGGGUGUAAAGGGCGUGUAGGCGGGGAAGCAAGUCAGAUGUGAAAACCACGGGCUCAACCUGUGCGCUGCAUUUGAAACUGUUUUUCUUGAGUACUGGAGAGGCAGCCGGAAUUCCUAGUGUAGCGGUGAAAUGCAUAGAUAUCACGCAGAACUCCGAUGGCGAAGGCAGCAUACCGGCGCUCAACUGACGCUCAUGCACGAAAGCGUGGGUAUCGAACAGGAUUAGAUACCCGGGUAGUC
rnacentral:rRNA from 1 species